rnacentral:lncRNA from 1 species
AGCACUUUAAGAAGAAAAGGACGGAGGAGCAGGGUUAGAACGGGCAUCAGAAACAGGAAGGCUGCAGAUGCAUCCGAUGGAAGAAGGGGAAGUGUUUUCUUGCUGACCGCCUUGCUCGCUUCCUGUGCCUAGAGCGAUGGAAUGCUUCUGAGCUAUCAGAUGACUUGUGGAGGUCUGGUAUUUUCUAUCUUUGCCUCUACUGCUAUCCGCCACUUCCAGAGAUGUACUAGCUGAGCUUGUAGAUCUGAUUUAUGGAGGGUUUCUAAAGACAACUUUCAGCUGUGUAUUUGUAUGCAGCUCUCUGUAUGGGCUACUCAACAGGCAUUCAGAUUUAGGGGG